GCCUGGAGGGUGGGUAGCUCAGUUGGUAGAGCACAAGACUCUUAAUCUCAGGGUCAUAAGCUCAAGCCCCAUGUUAGGCA